rnacentral:piRNA from 2 species
UCAUUCAUUUGCAAAAUGUGUGUGUCUGGGG